UGACCUCUGGUGAGUCUAUCUGUUUAUGUUGGUGGAUACUCAGGACGUCUGCAACGAGCUGUUCUUCGACGAGUCAGAUCAUAAAGAGCAGAUCAUCGGGGAGGCCAAAAUUACCGGGUUCUGUCUCUCGUAGUAAUUGUGGCUCUUCCAUUUACGGCAAGUUGUAAGUGCGGAUUGGUUGAGGCCUCCGAAUUGUGGUUUUGCUUGUUGUGUCGGUCCCUUCUAGAUUAGAUCGAGUUAUUGUUUAUAAUUUUUUUCUUUACUCUGCUUCUUGUUGCCAUUGUAGUUCUGUCAAAAUCUUAAAAUUGGUAAUAAUAUCUUUACAUUUUUAC
rnacentral:lncRNA from 1 species